ensembl:lncRNA
GGUGGCUCUGUUUUCCUUUUUGAGGAACCUCCACAUGGAUAUCCACAGUAGUUGCACCAGUGUGCGCUCCUACCACAGUGGGUAAAACAUCUUUCCCGGCAUCUUUUGUGUGCAGUCCCACCAGAGCAGAUGCUAAAGCAUAUGGGUCACUAGACAACCUCAACAAGUGGCAUGGCACAGCCAUGGGCAAGCUGGGGGUGGCCAAGGACUCCAUUGCUUGAUGGAAAAGGAACAGCAGGAAGAUCACAAUGAACACCUCAGAUUCGAGUUUCUUUGAGCAGACAGACCCAGCAGAGAGACCUGGCACGCUGCUGUGAACUCUUUCGGAGGAGGUAAGAGCCCAGGUGAUAAGGUACAAGGGGUCACCAGAGAGCUGUACAGCAGAGCCAUGGACAAGUUGGAGGUGGU